GAGGCCCUACCAUCAGGAUGACCUCUGCUUUUACCAAGGGUCACUGAGGUCAAGGGUCAACU
rnacentral:pre_miRNA from 1 species